AGCGCAGGCGGUUUUAUAAGUCAGAGGUGAAAUUCCCACGCUCAACGUGGUGAUCUGCCUUUGAUACUGUUUUACUUGAGUGUUGGAGAGGGUAACGGAAUUCCAGGUGUAGCGGUGGAAUGCGUAGAUAUCUGGAAGAACACCAGUUGCGAAGGCGGUUGCCUGGCCAAACACUGACGCUCAUGCUCGAAAGCUGGGGGAGCAAACAGGAUUAGAUACCCUGGUAGUCC
rnacentral:rRNA from 1 species